rnacentral:rRNA from 1 species
CCCUUAGAUGUUCUGGGCUGCACGCGCGCUACACUGGUGCGUUCAGUGAGUUUAGCACCUUAACAGAUAUGUUUGGGUAAUCUUCUGAAAACGCACCGUGAUGGGGAUCGAUUAUUGUAAUUAUUAAUCGUCAACGAGGAAUUCCUAGUAAGUGUGAAUCAUCAGUUCGCGCUGAUUACGUCCCUGCCCUUUGUACACACCGCCCGUCGCUGCUACCGAUUGAGUGGUCCUGUGAAUUAUUCGGACCGGUGGACUGUGGGGAAACCCGCGGCCUGCUGGGAAGUCUUGUGAACCUUAUCACUUAGAGGAAGCAGAAGUCGUAACA